GUAGGUGGCAAGCGUUGUCCGGAAUUAUUGGGCGUAAAGCGCGCGCAGGCGGUUCUUUAAGUCUGAUGUGAAAGCCCACGGCUCAACCGUGGAGGGUCAUUGGAAACUGGAGAACUUGAGUACAGAAGAGGAAAGCGGAAUUCCACGUGUAGCGGUGAAAUGCGUAGAGAUGUGGAGGAACACCAGUGGCGAAGGCGGCUUUCUGGUCUGUAACUGACGCUGAGGCGCGAAAGCGUGGGGAGCAAACAGGAUUAGAUACCCUGGUAGUCCACGCCGUAAACGAUGAGUGCUAGGUGUUAGGGGGUUUCCGCCCCCCUUAGUGCUGCAGCUAACGCAUUAGGCACUCCGCCUGGGAGUACGGCCGCAAGGCUG
rnacentral:rRNA from 1 species